AGUCACUGCGAGGAUACAUAUUAAGUUUAAAGGUAAAUCUGAAGACCAGAUACUUCAUCCAUUUUCUUUUAAUUUCCUUUCCCAUCCCAUACAAACUUGGGGACCUGCUGUUGAAGCCAUAACCAGUGUUAGUUAACCUGGUAGCAGUGACAGGCCAAAUUUGUGCCAUGAUAUAAACCCCAAAAAAUAGAUGAUACAUAAUCUGAUCACAUAUGCUUUGAUAUAUAUUAUGAAAUGGUUUGUGUGAGGGGUGAUUUUUUCUCAUUUUUCUCACUUGGAGGGACCAUUAAGAAACAUGAUCCCCGCUGCUACCGGGUUAACGCUCCCCCACCCAGCCUGGAGGGUAAAAAUAUGAGAGAAAAAACUUAAAUGUGUUAGAUGGAUGCGUGAGAGUUGAAUUUAACUGGGGAGGGAGGGACUCUAGGUUAACGUCCUGUACAUGGCUUAAACUACCACAUACAGCUGGCAUGAAAUCUCUGGUGAGGAUUCCUAAAGAUAGGGCUGCGGACUAAGGGCCAGUUCGACAGACCAACACAGAGUCCUUGCAAGCGCCCCAACCAAACUAUAUUCUCCACAAUGAUCCAUUUUUUCUACUCAAUACUAGAUACUAUAGAGAUUUCCUGUGUGGUAAUUUAGUAAUAGUUGUUGUAGUUGUGGGAGGUAAUUUAGUAAUAGUUGUUGUAGUUGUGGCAGGUAAUUUAGCUCAAAUCAUGCGCAUCAAUAACAUAUGAGUAUACGUCACUGGAAUAGAUUAUUGUCAUGACACAGCUUAAAACCUUAAGUUUAUCUGCUGCUUUAGGAAGAAAGGGUUAAAUAAUGCACAGUUUUAAUCAAAAAGUUUAUUAAUGUAAUCUAAGUAUUGGCACCUAUGCAAGAUCACAAUGAACCAUUUGGCAGUUUGCAGCAGUGAGGGGCCGAGGGGCAAGCCACCUUUCCCCUUUACCUGUUUUUAAAUGUCUUUGGUUGAAUCUGUAGAGAGAGAAAGGCCUUGCCCCCCAGCCUCGGCCAGCCUGCAGAUUACUGUUACGUUGUUACAUUGUCACUCAAUAUGAAUGUGUUAAAUGUACAGUGAUAAAAUUCAUGUAAAAUUUCUUUGCACAGCUGUAACAAAAUUUUGAAGUCACCUGCAGUGUUGGGAGCCAAAAGUAUUAUUCAGCUUUUUAAAUAAUCUAAAAGUCCUUUGACCUGCCUGAUGUACACGGUACAUUCUGUGGGUCAUGUCAGCCAUCCAAAAAUAAUUUAUAAUUCUGAAGGUUGGUCACAUUAGUCUGUUUUAAAUUUUAUAGAUUUAAGUGAUAUCUACAAGACUUAAAGGUCUACACAUAAAGGAGAGAAUUAUGAAAGUGACAUUCAUCCUCAAGAAGAUAUAGUAUACACUAGCAUCCUUAAAACUUGUAAAAAUAUUUGAAUUUUGCAACUUAAUUCCUAUGAAGUGUUAAAAUCAAACCUACUUAUUGUAAUAACUUUUGACAUUUUUUCCAAACUAUUAAGACUAUACAAAACCGAAGCCCGUUCAGACGUCAUCUUUUCUGCCGUAAUUAAACGCUACUCUCAAAAGAUCAAUCAUGAAACACACACAGAGGCAGCCGUGUCCCCAAGUAGUGAAGUGAGUAUUGUGAGGCACUGCUCUGACGCUUGUAUGCAAAGCCACUGAAAGACUGGGAAAGGUUGGCAGUGUUGGCACAUCACAGCCUCAUGGCAGAACCUGAUUUGGCAUAUUGAUUUUUGACCUGCAAAAAAAAAAAAAAAAAAAAAUGUAACCUUAAGCCUUAAACAACACAACUUCUCAACCAAAGAACUCUGGUAAGAUUCGUCAAUUCCCUUGUAGCAACAGGAGACCUCCAAUAAUUUUCAGCAUUACAAGUCAUCAUGGUACACUGAACUUCCUAUGAUAUGACUGGGAAAAAAUGCAUCACCUACAGAGCCAGUAGAGGCGACCCCCACUCGGUGAAACAUAAUAUAACAUGGGUUGAAUAGUUUAGUUCCCAAACCCCGAUUUUUCCCUCAU